AAACAUGUCUCUUUGAUAGUUUUUAAUAGAGAGUUGGGCCUGCUCGGUGAUUAAUAUUUAACAGCUGCGGUAUUAUAACUGUACUAAGGUAGCAUAAUAAUUUGCUUUAUAAAUUGAGGCUAGAAUGAAUGGUUUGACGAAAAUUAUACUGUCUCUUACUUAUUUAUUAGAAAUUAAUUUUUAUAGUGAAAAAGCUUAAAUAAUUUAAAGGGACGAAAAGACCCUAUUGAGCUUUAUAUUAUUAUUUAAAUUUAUUAUAUUAAUUUUUAUUUUAAAUAAUUUUGGUUGGGGUGAUCAAGGAAUAAAAUAUUAAAUUUAUUAACUUCCUUAUAUAUUUAAAUAUAUAUAUUAAUAAACCAAAUUUUUUGCUUAAAAGAUAAGUUACCAUAGGGAUAACAGCGUAAUUUUUUUUGAGAGUUCAUAUUGAGAAAAGAGAUUGCGACCUCGAUGUUGGAUUAAAAUAACCUUAGGGUGUAGAGGCUUUAAUUGGUUAAUCUGUUCGAUUUUUAAAAUUUUACGUGAUC
rnacentral:rRNA from 1 species